GGCGUGCCUAACACAUGCAAGUCGAACGAAGCUCCUUGAAGGGCGGACUUCGGUCAAACAGAUGGGAUGACUUAGUGGCGAACGGGUGAGUAACGCGUGAGGAACCUGCCUUUCAGUGGGGGACAACAGUUGGAAACGACUGCUAAUACCGCAUAACGUACGGAUACCGCAUGGUGACUGUACCAAAGAUUUAUUGCUGAAAGAUGGCCUCGCGUCUGAUUAGAUAGUUGGUGAGGUAACGGCCCACCAAGUCGACGAUCAGUAGCCGGACUGAGAGAUUGAACGGCCACAUUGGGACUGAGAUACGGCCCAGACUCCUACGGGAGGCAGCAGUGGGGAAUAUUGGGCAAUGGGGGGAAACCCUGACCCAGCAACGCCGCGUGAAGGAAGAAGGCUUUCGAGUUGUAAACUUCUUUUACCAGGAACGAAGAAAGUGACGGUACCUGGAGAAAAAGCCACGGCUAACUACGUGCCAGCAGCAGC
rnacentral:rRNA from 1 species